GGAGGGUGCAAACGUUGUUCGGAAUCACUGGGCGUAAAGGGCGCGCAGGCGGACCUGUAAGUCAGGAGUGAAAACUCGGGGGCUCAACUCCGAGCCUGCUUCCGAAACUGCAAGUCUUGAGGGCCGGAGAGGAGAGUGGAAUUCCUAGUGUAGCGGUGGAAUGCGUAGAUAUUAGGAAGAACACCAGUGGCGAAGGCGACUCUCUGGACGGUUCCUGACGCUGAGGCGCGAAAGCUAGGGGAGCAAACAGGAUUAGAUACCCUGGUAGUCCUAGCCGUAAACGAUGAGUGCUAGGUGGUGGUGGUUUCAACGCCUUCACUGCCGGAGCUAACGCAUUAAGCACUCCGCCUGGGGAGUACGGCCGCAAAGGUUG
rnacentral:rRNA from 1 species